UACGUAGGGUGCGAGCGUUAAUCGGAAUUACUGGGCGUAAAGAGUGCGUAGGCGGUUUGUGAAGUCAGAUGUGAAAGCCCCGGGCUUAACCUGGGAUGUGCGUUUGAAACUGACAGACUAGAGUUUGAUAGAGGGGGGUAGAAUUCCUGGUGUAGCAGUGAAAUGCGUAGAUAUCAGGAGGAAUACCGAUGGCGAAGGCAGCCCCCUGGAUUAAAACUGACGCUCAGGCACGAAAGCAUGGGGAGCAAACAGG
rnacentral:rRNA from 1 species